CUAAAAAUUACGUGAUGAUGGGGGGAGACAUGGCAACCCUGUUCACAAAGUUGUAAAUGGUACCCUUAUAAUAUAUUUAGGAGGAGUUAAAAUAUUUAGUGAACGAGUCUCAAAACCGAUCAGAAUUACCUCCCUAAAUGACGCUCUGCCAUAUCUCAU